rfam:Vigna radiata var. radiata cultivar VC1973A chromosome 2, whole genome shotgun sequence
AUCUUUGCGCUUGGGGCAAUGACGCAGCUAGUGAGGUUCUAACCGAGGCGCGUCUAUUGCUGGUUGAAAACUAUUUCCAAACCCCCUCUUAGGCCUGGGUUCAGCCUAGGCCUUCGAGAAUUUCUGGAAGGACUCCCUUUGGGGUAAAGUC